GCCCCAGUAGCUCAGUCGGCAGAGCGUCUCCAUGGUAAGGAGAAGGUCUAGGGUUCGAUUCCCUACUGGGGCUCCA
rnacentral:tRNA from 1 species